GCAAACUGCGGGGAGCUGCCCGCGGAAAGGUCCCUAAAGCAGCGCUGGAGCCGGGCUGCCUUCCUCUUGCUGAUGACCGGGUUCCUGUUUGAUCCUGUUUACAAGCUUCCCAAGACUGAAAAUAACCCCAGCUCCUCUGCACUGGCGCUUGGAAGCAGAAGGAAGCAAAGAGGAGUUGAGAACUGAAGCUGGGAGACUUGGCAGCUAAUUCAGAGGCACAAUUGUGUGAGCAGCCCCUUGGCAAGAGGACCCAGUGCAGCCUGUGACAGAACUGAGUGGAGAUGAUCCCAAGCUGAGAGUCACAACAGGAUCUGCUUUGAGUUCACCCAGCGACCUGCAGGCUCAUCCAGCACCCAGCACAGGUAAGAGAUCUCCACAGAACCUGCAUUCCCCAGGUGUUGUAGCAUCCCAGCCAUAACCCCUGCUCUGCAGUGC
rnacentral:lncRNA from 1 species